UUUACUACGGUCGUUUGGCACCCUGUGUAUUAGGGUGGGCCAAAAAAAAUGAGUAUUUUUUUUUUUACUUUAUACUCGGAAAAUCGGUUGCUAGAUACCUCUAAAGAAUUCUCACCAAAUAUGAGCUCUUAAUUUUGAUAUCAAGGUCCUCCGCUUUA